AUUUUAGGGCUGACUGCCACUAGGGAAAGAUUUCUUUCUGGAGAUCCCUUCUUGGUGAAGGUUUCCCUUGUGAACCUGGAAUCUUCUGGUACAGUUGCAGCUGACAAAAGGUGCCAGCCUAUUUAACAGCUGCCUGGAGAUAAGCACUCAGUGGAUGCAGACAGCAGGUGCAGCAUGGGUGGCAGUGUCAGAUGCCAGCCCAGACAUCGUUGCACAGAGCGCCACAUCUCCUCUGCCUCCACGUUCACUUGCUCCGUUGGUAGGGGCUGCCAACAGAGUGUCGCAGAAGAUGCUGAUUUUUGGAAUGGGGACCGAAUGCUUUGGAGCCGAACAUAUUGCCUGCUAGAAGUAAAAAUGAGGCUGGG
ensembl:lncRNA